rnacentral:rRNA from 1 species
ACGCUGGCGGCAGGCCUAACACAUGCAAGUCGAGCGGUAGAGAGAAGCUUGCUUCUCUUGAGAGCGGCGGACGGGUGAGUAAUGCCUAGGAAUCUGCCGGGUAGUGGGGGAUAACGUUCGGAAACGGACGCUAAUACCGCAUACGUCCUACGGGAGAAAGCAGGGGACCUUCGGGCCUUGCGCUAUCAGAUGAGCCUAGGUCGGAUUAGCUAGUUGGUGAGGUAAUGGCUCACCAAGGCGACGAUCCGUAACUGGUCUGAGAGGAUGAUCAGUCACACUGGAACUGAGACACGGUCCAGACUCCUACGGGAGGCAGCAGUGGGGAAUAUUGGACAAUGGGCGAAAGCCUGAUCCAGCCAUGCCGCGUGUGUGAAGAAGGUCUUCGGAUUGUAAAGCACUUUAAGUUGGGAGGAAGGGCAUUAACCUAAUACGUUAGUGUUUUGACGUUACCGACAGAAUAAGCACCGGCUAACUCUGUGCCAGCAGCCGCGGUAAUACAGAGGGUGCAAGCGUUAAUCGGAAUUACUGGGCGUAAAGCGCGCGUAGGUGGUUUGUUAAGUUGGAUGUGAAAUCCCCGGGCUCAACCUGGGAACUGCAUUCAAAACUGACUGACUAGAGUAUGGUAGAGGGUGGUGGAAUUUCCUGUGUAGCGGUGAAAUGCGUAGAUAUAGGAAGGAACACCAGUGGCGAAGGCGACCACCUGGACUAAUACUGACACUGAGGUGCGAAAGCGUGGGGAGCAAAC